UUAGAAAAUAAGGCAAACACCCAGUUGUGCUUGAAAAGAAAAAAUACUGUCAAAUACCGUGAAACCGAUAUAAUUUAGAAAAAUACCGUGAUAUACAUUUUUGGUCAUACCGCCCAGCACUACUGAUCAAAAAGGUGGCC